rnacentral:misc_RNA from 1 species
GGCAUGCAAGAAAACAAGUUCCCAAAAUUUCAUUUAUUCUUUAUACAAAAUUACUUUUAUGUUCUGAAAACAUCACCAUUUAUACACAAGGUUCCUCUCUUACUAAUUUGGUGUUUACCUCUUAACACAUAAGAACUGAUGAGAUUAAAAACCAACACCGGUUGGGAAAAUCUGUCUUGUCUUGAAAUUUAUAUAGCCAUCAACUUAACAAAUAACGCAGGCAUUUGGAUUCUCCUCCAUGCUUUGAACGUAGUAAUACGUGGUGAGAUGAGGAUUAUAAGCUCUGUAGGCCUUGACCAGCUCUAAAACUGGGUCAGGUGGAAGAGCAGGUGCUGGUGAUGGAGCAGGAGCAGGAGCUGCGUCUUUGUUUUUCUCUUCUUCCUUCUUCUCCCCCUCCUCUUUCUUGGGUUCCUCCUUCUCUUCUUCCUUCUUGGGUUCCUCUUUCUUAGCUUCCUCCUCUUUCUUGGGUUCCUCUUUCUUU